rnacentral:lncRNA from 1 species
GAGAGGGGAGCUUAUUCUGCACAAAGAGAGGAAGAAUCAAGUGAGAAAUCUUGAGAAGAAAGAGUUACGAAGAAAAUUUUAGAAGAGUAGAGGUUCUGGAGGGUUUUCGAGAGAACAAAUUCGGAGCAAGAAAUUGAGUCUGAAAUAGAGGUAAGGGGAGCUAACCUUUCUAAGUUUUUAUAUUAUAAAAUAUUUUUUUAUAACUAUUUAUGUCUUGAAAUGUUUUGCAAUUACUGUUAAUGAAAAACCUAUGUGCUUGUUGUAUAACUAUUUGAAUUUUUGUGAUAAUAUUAUAUGUUUUUGUUUUGAAUCUGUGAAUAAGAAAACUGUUAAUAACACGUUGAGGAACACUUUGACUAAGGAAAGAUAUGGUACUUAAUUUGUCCAUUGUGACGCACCUCUCUUCCCUGGAAGUCUACUCGAUGUGUUUUUAACUAAUUCUUAUCAAACAGAUUAGGUGCAGUUAAAUUAUUUUGUGAUAUAUUUAAUUUGUAUGAUUUUUGGGGAUGAAUGGACUUUAUGAUGUUUGUAUGAAUUAUUGAGUGUAUAUCCUUUUUCUAUUACAUCUAUCUGGAAGGAUAAGAAGAUGUCUAACCGGCUUUGCCAGAUUCAACUUCUUGAUUUCCCAUAACGUUUAUAUUAAAAUUAUUUUUUUAUGGUAGCUUACCAUUACUGUUUGUGUUGAAUGUAUUAUAUUGGACGUGAAAUUUAUGUAUUUGAGCGUAAUGGAAGUGUAUUAUGAUAUCAUAUAUAAACUUAAUAUUUUUGUUGUCUAUGAUGAAAUUAUGAUUG